rnacentral:rRNA from 1 species
CACGUAGGGCGCAAGCGUUGUCCGGAAUUAUUGGGCGUAAAGAGCUCGUAGGCGGUCUGUCGCGUCUGCCGUGAAAACCCGAGGCUUAACCUCGGGCCUGCGGUGGAUACGGGCAGACUAGAGGUAGGUAGGGGAGAAUGGAAUUCCCGGUGUAGCGGUGAAAUGCGCAGAUAUCGGGAGGAACACCGGUGGCGAAGGCGGCUUCUUGGGCCUUUACUGACGCUGAGGCGCGAAAGCCAGGGGAGCGAACGGG